rnacentral:rRNA from 1 species
CCCUUAGAUGUUCUGGGCCGCACGCGCGCUACACUGAUGCAUUCAACGAGUCUAAAACCUGCUCUGAUAGGGGUGGGUAAUCUUUUGAAUGUGCAUCGUGAUUGGGAUAGAUGAUUGCAAUUUUUCAUCUUCAACGAGGAAUGCCUAGUAAACGCAAGUCAUCAGCUUGCAUUGAUUACGUCCCUGCCCUUUGUACACACCGCCCGUCGCUCCUACCGAUUGAAUGAUCCGAUGAAUAUCAUGGAUUGAGGAUGCAAGUAGGUUCGCCUAUCUUCAUCUUCGAGAAGUGAAGUAAAUCUUAUCAUUUAGAGGAAGGAGGAGUCGUAACA